rnacentral:rRNA from 1 species
CCUACGGGAGGCAGCAGUGAGGAAUAUUGGUCAAUGGGCGAGAGCCUGAACCAGCCAAGUCGCGUGAGGGAAGACGGUCCUAUGGAUUGUAAACCUCUUUUGUCGGGGAGCAAAAAGGCCUCGUGAGGCCACAAGUGAGAGUACCCGAAGAAAAAGCAUCGGCUAACUCCGUGCCAGCAGCCGCGGUAAUACGGAGGAUGCGAGCGUUAUCCGGAUUGAUUGGGUUUAAAGGGUGCGUAGGCGGACUGGAAAGUCAGCGGUAAAAGCGAGAGGCUCAACCUCUUUCCGCCGUUGAAACUGUCGGUCUUGAGUGGGCGAGAAGUAUGCGGAAUGCGUGGUGUAGCGGUGAAAUGCAUAGAUAUCACGCAGAACUCCGAUUGCGAAGGCAGCAUACCGGCGCCCGACUGACGCUGAGGCACGAAAGCGUGGGUAUCGAACAGGAUUAGAUACCCUGGUAGUC